rnacentral:ncRNA from 1 species
CAUGAAUGACGCAAUCUCUCUUUUCAUACCGUUCCAUAAUGACAUGUGAGGUGUAGGAUAAGUGGGAGCCCUUGGGCGAAGGUGAAAUACCACUACUUAUAACAUUAUUUUACUUAUUCUGUGAAUCUGAGGCGAGGCAUCGCCCCUAUUUUUGGAUCCAAGGCCUGUUCGCGUGUCGAUCUGGGCAUAAGACAUUGUGAGGGAGGGAGUUUGGCUGGGGUGGCACAUCUGUGAAAAGAUAAUGCAGGUGUCCUAAGAUGAGCUCAACGAGAACAGAAAUCUCGUAUGGAACAAAAGGGUAACAACUCGUUUGAUUUUGAUUUUCAGUAUGAAUACGAACCAUGAAAGCUUGGCCUAUCGAUCCUUUAGACCUUCAAAAUUUGAAGUUAGAGGUGUCAGAAAGGUUACCACACGGAUAACCAGCUUAUGGCAACCAACCGUUCAUAGCGACCUUUCUUUUUGAUCCUUUGAUGUCGACUCUUCCUAUCAUUGUGAAGCAUAAUUCACCAAGUGUUGGAUUGUUCACCCACCAAUAGGGAACUUGAGCUUGGUUUAGACCAUCAUGAAACAUGUUAAUU